rnacentral:rRNA from 1 species
UACAGAGGGGGCAAGCGUUGUUCGGAAUUACUGGGCGUAAAGCGCACGUAGGCGGCACCGCAAGUGUGGAGUGAAAUCCCACGGCUUACCCGUGGAACUGCUUGGCAGACUGCGGUGCUAGAGGUUGGUAGGGGAGAGCGGAACUCUUGGUGGAGCGGUGAAAUGCGUAGAUAUCAAGAGGAACACCGGUGGCGAAGGCGGCUCUCUGGUCCAAUCCUGACGCUGAGGUGCGAAAGCUAGGGGAGCAAACGGG